rnacentral:rRNA from 1 species
CAAGUCGAACGGUAAGGUCUCUUCGGAGAUACACGAGUGGCGCACGGGUGCGUAACGCGUAUGCAACCUACCUUUAACUGGGAAAUAGCCCCGAGAAAUCGGGAUUAAUGUCCCAUACUAUUCUGAGAAUGCAUAUUCUUAGAAUGAAAGCUCCGGCGGUUAUUGAUGGGCAUGCGUGACAUUAGCUAGUUGGUAAGGUAACGGCUUACCAAGGCUACGAUGUCUAGGGGUCCUGAGAGGGUUAACCCCCACACUGGUACUGAGACACGGACCAGACUCC